CCCUGGUUAGCUCAGUUGGUAGAGCGCACCACUGCUAAUGGAGAGGUCCCUGGUUCAUUACCAGGACUAGGCG
rfam:Ixodes scapularis strain Wikel colony gcontig_1108378699470, whole genome shotgun sequence.